UACGUAGGGGGCAAGCGUUGUCCGGAUUUAUUGGGCGUAAAGCGCGUGUAGGCGGCCAGAUAGGUCUGCUGUGAAAACUCGAGGCUCAACCUCGAGCUGUCGGCGGAAACCAUCUGGCUAGAGUCCGGAAGAGGAGAGUGGAAUUCAUGGUGUAGCAGUGAAAUGCGUAGAGAUCAUGAGGAAGACCAGUGGCGAAGGCGGGUCUCUGGACAGUUCCUGACACUGAGGCACGAAGGCCAGGGGAGCAAACGGG
rnacentral:rRNA from 1 species